CUGGACACAGAUUUCUUCCAUCUUAAAACGACGAGGCUGAACUACAAGCUCUCUCAGACUUCUUGCAGCUCUAUUAUCAGAUUGCAGCUAUAAAGGGCCAUGAACAGGCUGAAAAAUGUUUUGGGAGUUAAGCUUGUGAUAUUGGCAGCUGAAAAAUGGACAGAAAACAUGGGAAGUACGUAGUGAAUAUUGAACACUCUGGAAACCAACCGCUGUUUCUGAGCACAAGAAGCAUGAAGCUCACAGUUCAGCAUGUCAGUUUCCACCAUCAACUGAUGUAACUAGUGAUGUUGGU